rnacentral:rRNA from 1 species
GACGAACGCUGGCGGCGUGCUUAACACAUGCAAGUCGAACGGAAAGGCCUGCUUUCCCUUGUGGAUUGCGGGUACUCGAGUGGCGAACGGGUGAGUAACACGUGAGUGAUCUGCCCCCAACUUGGGUAUAAGCCUGGGAAACUGGGUCUAAUUCCCGAUAGGACUGCAGGGUGGUGCCUGUGGUGGAAAACGAUUUUCUAGUGGUUGGGGAUGAGCUCGCGGCCUAUCAGCUUGUUGGUGGGGUAAUGGCCUACCAAGGCGGCGACGGGUAGCCGGCCUGGGAGGGUGGACGGCCACAUUGGGACUGAGAUACGGCCCAGACUCCUACGGGAGGCAGCAGUGGGGAAUAUUGCACAAUGGGCGGAAGCCUGAUGCAGCGACGCCGCGUGGGUGAUGACGGCCUUCGGGUUGUAAACUCCUUUCGACCGCGAGGAAGCCACCUGGUUGGAAGGGUGGUGACGUUAGUGGUAGAAGAAGCACCGGCUAACUACGUG